GACGAACGCUGGCGGCGUGCUUAACACAUGCAAGUCGAACGAAGUGGCGCACGGGUGAGUAACGCGUAAUCAACCUGCCCUUCAGGGGGGGACAACAGGUGGAAACGACUGCUAAUACCGCAUGCUGAAGGAGGGGAGUGCGUUUGAUUAGCUAGUUGGCGGGGUAACGGCCCACCAAGGCGAUGAUCAGUAGCCGGUCUGAGAGGGUGAUCGGCCACAUUGGGACUGAGACACGGCCCAGACUCCUACGGGAGGCAGCAGUGGGGAAUCUUCCGCAAUGGACGAAAGUCUGACGGAGCAACGCCGCGUGAGUGAUGACGGUCUUCGGGUUGUAAAGCUCUGUUAAUCGGGACGCGGUACCGGAAUAGAAAGCCACGGCUAACUACGUGCCAGCAGCCGCGGUAAUUC
rnacentral:rRNA from 1 species